GACGAACCGUCCAAACGUUAUUCGGAAUUACUGGGCUUAAAGGGUGCGUAGGCGGCACGGAAAGUUGGGUGUGAAAUCCCUCGGCUCAACCGAGGAACUGCGCCCAAUACUACCGUGCUCGAGGGAGAUAGAGGUGAGCGGAACUUAGGGUGGAGCGGUGAAAUGCGUUGAUAUCCUAAGGAACACCGGUGGCGAAAGCGGCUCACUGGAUCUCUUCUGACGCUGAGGCACGAAAGCUAGGGUAGCGAACGGG
rnacentral:rRNA from 1 species